GUAGGAUUCCUAAUGGGGUAUGAGAAGGUAAAUGCUGAGAGGAUGUUUACCCUUCCAAAGGAGUCUCUAGGAAGAGAGAACAUUAUCAAUAAGGGUGCCAAUUUAAAACAUAAGAGGAGGAAUUUCUCCUGUGUUACAAGUUUUUGAAAUGCCUUGCUACGAAGAUCUGUAGGGGCAGCUGAGAUAUUUCUUGAUCAAUAGGGGAAGAGAGGGGAUUAAGGAAAGGACAGGAAAGAGGCUGUGAGGAAUAUCAGAUCAGCAAUGAUCCUAUUGAAUAGUGGAGCAGACGUGAGGGGCUGAACAGCUUACUCUUGUUCCUAUUUCUUAUGGUUCUGUGGCUCUCCACUUUGGACAAUUCUAAUAGUGACAGUUGAGAUAGUGUUAACAAGCAAAAUUUGCACUCAGUUCCAGCUGGUUAGGUUCACGUUGAACUUUGCUAUUGAGCUUACUAGUCACCAAUUAAUAGGUUCUAAAUUGUCUGAUAGGGAGGGACCACUGCCGUUUGUGCCACAGGACUGCGGAAUCUCGGGAACACCUGUUUUAUGAAUGCCAUCCUCCAGUCACUCAGCAACAACCAGCAGUUCUGCUUUUAU